GGCAUAUAGCCCUCGCUUUUCUGUACCGUAAGGUGGUUCAGGAACAAGGACUGGGCAAGACCGGUGCCAGCCGCCGCAGUAAUACCGGCAGCUCGAGUGAUGGCCGAUCUUAUUGGGCCUAAAGCGUUCGUAGCCGGCCACGCAAGUUCAUCGGGAAAUCCGCCAGCCCAACUGGCGGGCGUCCGGUGAAAACUGUGUGGCUUGGGACCGGAAGACCCGAAGGGUACGUCUUGGGUAGGAGUGAAAUCCCGUAAUCCUGGACGGACCGCCGAUGGCGAAAGCACUUCGGGAAGACGGAUCCGACGGUGAGGGACGAAAGCCAGGGUCUCGAACCGGAUUAGAUACCCGGGUAGUCCUGGCCGUAAACGAUGUCUGCUAGGUGUGACUCCCGCUACGAGCGGGUGUUGUGCCGUAGGGAAGCCGCUAGGCAGACCGCCUGGGAAGUACGUCCGCAAGGAUGAAACUUAAAGGAAUUGGCGGGGGAGCACUACAACCGGAGGAGCCUGCGGUUUAAUUGGACUCAACGCCGGACAUCUCACCAGCAUCGACAGCAGCAAUGACGAUCAGGUUGAUGACCUUGUCAGAGCUGCUGAGAGGAGGUGCAUGGCCGCCGUCAGCUCGUACCGUGAGGCGUCCUGUUAAGUCAGGCAACGAGCGAGACCCGCACUCCUAAUUGCCAGCACCGGGUUCGCCCGGGUGGGUACAUUAGGAGGACUGCCGUGGCCAACACGGAGGAAGGAACGGGCAACGGUAGGUCAGUAUGCCCCGAAUGUGCUGGGCUACACGCGGGCUACAAUGGCCGAGACAAUGGGUUCCAACCUCGGAAGAGGACGGUAAUCUCCUAAACUCGGUCGUAGUUCGGAUUGAGGGCUGAAACCCGCCCUCAUGAAG
rnacentral:rRNA from 1 species